CUGUGGUGGGUACGGGGUGGCUUGAGUGCAGUAGGCGAGACUGGAACUCAUGGUGUAGCGGUAUAAUGCGCAGAUAUCAGGAAGAACACCGGUGGCGAAGGCAGGUCUCUGGGCCGUUACUGACGCUGAGGAGCGAAAGCCCCGGGAGCGAACAGG
rnacentral:rRNA from 1 species